rnacentral:lncRNA from 1 species
AAGAAUACCUGAAUCUAUUACAAAAAUGUGAAAUCCUACUGGACGCUUGGUCGGACCACUCACCGGUACUGGCCCAGCUGACCUCGCCUCUGCAUAAACCCACAAGACGCCAAUGGAAACUGAAUGAACAACUACUUAGCGACCCGGUCACCAUAGCGGACGCUACGACAGCGCUCCGUCAUUACUUCAAUGAGAAUGAUCCGUCUGACACCUCCCCAAUGAUUCGGUGGGAGGCCCAUAAGUGCGUCAUUCAGGGACAUUUCAUCAAGGUAUGUACAACGCGGAAGAAAGAACACAGUAGGCAGCUACAAGAGCUAUAUACGAAAGUCGCCAGCUUAGAACAAGACCACAAAGCCGCACCGACAGAAGAGGCGUACCAUGCGCUCCGAGAGGCCCGCCGAGACCUACAACAUCUG